rnacentral:rRNA from 1 species
UACGGAGGGGGCUAGCGUUGUUCGGAAUUACUGGGCGUAAAGCGCGCGUAGGCGGCUUUGUAAGUUAGAGGUGAAAGCCCGGAGCUUAACUCCGGAACUGCCUUUAAGACUGCAUCGCUAGAAUUGUGGAGAGGUGAGUGGAAUUCCGAGUGUAGAGGUGAAAUUCGUAGAUAUUCGGAAGAACACCAGUGGCGAAGGCGACUGACUGGACAAGUAUUGACGCUGAGGUGCGAAAGCGUGGGGAGCAAACGGG